CCUACGGGAGGCAGCAGUGAGGAAUAUUGGUCAAUGGACGAGAGUCUGAACCAGCCAAGUAGCGUGAAGGAUGACUGCCCUAUGGGUUGUAAACUUCUUUUAUAUGGGAAUAAAAUGUUCCACGUGUGGGAUUCUGUAUGUACCAUAUGAAUAAGGAUCGGCUAACUCCGUGCCAGCAGCCGCGGUAAUACGGAGGAUCCGAGCGUUAUCCGGAUUUAUUGGGUUUAAAGGGAGCGUAGGUGGAUUGUUAAGUCAGAUGUGAAAGUUUGCGGCUCAACCGUAAAAUUGCAGUUGAUACUGGCAGUCUUGAGUACAGUAGAGGUGGGCGGAAUUCGUGGUGUAGCGGUGAAAUGCUUAGAGAUCACGAAGAACCCCGAUUGCGAAGGCAGCUUACUAAGCUGUGACUGACAUUGAGGCUCGAAAGUGUGGGGAUCAAACAGGAUUAGAUACCCCUGUAGUC
rnacentral:rRNA from 1 species